CUCUGCCUUACCCCGGGCUGUGGCUUCUGGAACGCCGCCUCCAGCUGCGCUCUCCCACGGGUGAAUCUCACCAGAGGCGUGGGGGGGAGGGGCGGCGGCGGCAGCUAGGGAGCGGCCCUUGGCUGGACCCUUCCCUUCUGCGUCCUCGGGAAAGCAUCAGCCUGCCCUGGGGCUCUGCUCCUGCCCAUCGUCCGCCCUCAGUAGCCCCCACGGCACAGAGCUCCAGCGUUCUGGGCGUGUCAUCCAGCCGGGCAUCCUGCCAGGGCCCCACCCGGAGCCCCACGGGGUGACCUCUCUCUCCUGAACCAAGACUCGGGUUUUCUGACUCGGGUUUUCUGGCAGUUCUGUGUUCCGGGACCACCGCGGGGAGCUAAGCCCCUCCCCCACCCACUGCUGCCAUUACUGAGGCUACACAAAGAACACCCGCGGCGGGCAUCCCUGGGGACCCUCGGCGGAAGGGCAAUGGGGAGAGACGUUCUAGAACAACUUGUGAGGGAGUGUGAAUUUUAAAAGUCUCCAUCUUGGUCUAGCACCCAAAAAUUGUGCACACCCACCUACACGGGCAUGCGCUAGUCAAUGACUAAUCAGAAAUAACUAACUGCCCACCUGGGCUGUCCUAAGCCAAGCUAGAGCCAACCAUUGAUUUUGUGAGACACAGGAAGUGAGGUAGGGAACAGCCUCUGGAAUUCGCAGAACUUCCUGUGGAGAGAGCUAGAGGGGAGUUGGUGUUAGGAGCUUGGAGAGGGAGGACGCCCGCAGACAGCUUUCCUUCAGAUCGGUCACGUGAGUUAAGGACUGAUUCUUUCCACCUGGGCCUUUGGGCCUAAAACUCCCCCUGCCUUGGUCAGAGGUUGAAUAGCCCCUUUCCCUUUUCUCUUCUCUCUCCUUCUCUCCCUAACCUUUUCCCUACUCUCGUUGUGAUUAAACCUCCAUAAACCUCA